UAGCCAUUGAAGCUCUGAACUAAGCUAAUUUAAGCGGUUGUCGCAAAGAAAACGGAAGGAAGAAGAAGAAGCGCGUGAGGGCCGCGACUGGGUGUGCGACUGGGUGUGCUCCUGGCGCGUGGGACAGACACACCGAGGAUGUGAGGGCGCGUGAGGGCGCGUGAAGCAUCAUUUCGGUUCCCGGUCUAAUUGGAAGGAAUUGUGUUGAAAUACCCUAUUAAAUGUACAAUCAAGAGAGAGGGAUUCGAAACCAGGUAAGUAGCGU